ACCACAGAUAUUAAAAAUCUUUCAAGGUCACACAUAUCAUCAUCAUCAUGUUAGGCGGCCUUGAAACAUAACAUGGGACAGGAAAUAAGGAGCAGCACCCGAACGUUUCUGUGUUACUUUCAAUGAGCAUUGCGCAGUUAGUAUAACGCUUGUGGUACACCAAGGAUUCUUUGUAUAUUCCGUGGGGUGCACCAUGGUGAGCUAGAGGCAGCAGCGAACCAAUGGCGCUUCGGCUUCACUUCUAUGACAUCAUGCUGACUUCUUCCAUCUAUAUUGUCCCAUCUAGGCAUCUACUGUGACAGUUGUAUGAAAAGUGUGACAGGUUUUUGAGCACGAAAAUCUCUAACGAAACGCUUUUAGACUCGAUAAUUAGGAAGAGGCACGCAACUUUAUUUAGUGUUGUCAGCUGAUCCCAGAUCGAGUCCCAGCCAGGAAGACAGCAGCCAUUGCCCAUUGGGCCAGCCCCGGUUAAGAUGUGUGUAGCCUUGUCUCAAGUUUUCCGCCGUUCUCGCCAUCUCAGCUGUCGUGCAAACCUGAUUCGCCACACAGGGACAUCAGGUUUCAGUCAUGAAGUUUGUGAUGGAGCAUGGGAGCAAGGAUUGAGGAUGGCUAGGCAGGCUGGGUGGUGUCUGCAGCCAGCCUAAUAGUAUCCACACCACUCCACUGUCCUUUAUUUCCACCAAGGGAGGCUGUGCACCACAUCUCAUGCAAGUAAGGUGUGUGUGUGUGUGUGUG